rnacentral:rRNA from 1 species
AACGAACGCUGGCGGCAUGCCUAACACAUGCAAGUCGAACGAGACCUUCGGGUCUAGUGGCGCACGGGUGCGUAACGCGUGGGAAUUUGCCUCGGGGUACGGAAUAACUCAGGGAAACUUGAGCUAAUACCGUAUGAUGUCUUCGGACCAAAGAUUUAUCGCCCUGAGAUAAGCCCGCGUAGGAUUAGCUAGUUGGUGAGGUAAGAGCUCACCAAGGCGACGAUCCUUAGCUGGUCUGAGAGGAUGAUCAGCCACACUGGGACUGAGACACGGCCCAGACUCCUACGGGAGGCAGCAGUGGGGAAUAUUGGACAAUGGGCGAAAGCCUGAUCCAGCAAUGCCGCGUGAGUGAUGAAGGCCUUAGGGUUGUAAAGCUCUUUUACCAGGGAUGAUAAUGACAGUAUCGGGAGAAUAAGCUCCGGCUAACUCCGUGCCAGCAGCCGCGGUAAUGUGACUACUG